rnacentral:rRNA from 1 species
GACGAACGCUGGCGGCGUGCUUAACACAUGCAAGUCGAGCGGUAAGGCCCUUUCGGGGGUACACGAGCGGCGAACGGGUGAGUAACACGUGGGUGACCUGCCCUCAGCUCUGGGAUAAGCCUGGGAAACCGGGUCUAAUACUGGAUAUGACUCCAUGACGCAUGUUGUGGGGUGGAAAGCCUUGUGCGGCUGAGGAUGGGCCCGCGGCCUAUCAGCUUGUUGGUGGGGUGAUGGCCUACCAAGGCGACGACGGGUAGCCGGCCUGAGAGGGCGACCGGCCACACUGGGACUGAGGACACGGCCCAGACUCCUACGGGAGGCAGCAGUGGGGAAUCUUGCGCAAUGGGCGAAAGCCUGACGCAGCGACGCCGCGUGAGGGAUGACGGCCU